rnacentral:rRNA from 1 species
GACGAACGCUGGCGGCGUGCUUAACACAUGCAAGUCGAACGCUGAAGCUUGGUGCUUGCACUGGGUGGAUGAGUGGCGAACGGGUGAGUAAUACGUGAGUAACCUGCCCUUGACUCUGGGAUAAGCCUGGGAAACUGGGUCUAAUACUGGAUACGACAUGUCACCGCAUGGUGGUUUGUGGAAAGGGUUUUACUGGUUUUGGAUGGGCUCACGGCCUAUCAGCUUGUUGGUGGGGUAAUGGCUCACCAAGGCGACGACGGGUAGCCGGCCUGAGAGGGUGACCAGCCACACUGGGACUGAGACACGGCCCAGACUCCUACGGGAGGCAGCAGUGGAGAAUAUUGCACAAUGGGCGGAAGCCUGAUGCAGCGACGCCGCGUGAGGGAUGACGGCCUUCGGGUUGUGAACCUCUUUCAGCACGGAAGAAGCGAAAGUGACGGUACGUGCAGAAGAAGCGCCGGCUAACUACGUG